rnacentral:lncRNA from 1 species
UUUGAAUAUGUUGCAAAGAUGGAACAUACAUAGAAAUUCAAUCAAGAUAAAAAAUUCAUGCUAACACGCGAAUAUAACAGUACAAAUGCCCAAAAAAAUAAUAAUAUAGCAGUGUAAAUUGUGACUACACAAAGGAAAAAAAUAAAAAUACAAUAGACCUCAUUGGUGGACUUGAAUGAAGCUUUCAGAUCCUAUAGCACAGCGUAAAUGCCAAGACAAUACAGUGGAGAAUUUUCAAUCCACAUUUGAAGCUCAA